CUGGGAGGAGGGGGUGCGGUUCCCCAAAACUGCCAUUGUUUGGUCAAAACAGAACAGUCGGGAGCUGUGGGAAGAAUAGCUGAAGAUCAAAUCCCUUUUCGGUGUCUUCCAAAUUGGAGGAUUCAACGCUCUCUCGGGAUGAUUGCUUGCUCUUGGGAAAGCCAGCCGCCAGAGACAGGAGGCAAACAGCCCUGGAGAGAAAUUGAGGCCUCCAGCCAAGAGCCAGUACCAGCUUGCCAGUCGUGUGAGUGAGCCACACUAGAAGCAUACCCUCGGUUCCCAGUCAAGCCAGCAGAUGACUGCAGUCUCUUGAGCAAUCCCAGACCAGACAGCUUGGCCAAGUCCAGCUCUCUGCUGUGGCCUGGGAAAGCAGUGGAAGAUGGCUCAAGUCCUUGGGCCCCUGCACCCACAUGGGAGACCAGGAAGAAGUACCCGGCUCCAUUGCAGCUGUUUGAGAAGGAAGACCUUUCUCUCUCUCUCUCUCUCUCUCUCUCUCUCUCUCUGUAACUCUACCUGUCAAAUAAAUAAAUAAAAAUCUUUUUUUAAAAAAUUUGUUGUUUAUCUUAUUGUAUUAAGUUCUGAGGGUUCUUUGUAUAUUCUGGAUACUUUACCCUUAUCUAACACAUGAUUUACAAAUAUUUUCUCCCAUUUUUAAGUUUGUCCCUUUGUUUCCCUAAAAUGUCCUUUGAUACAAAAAAAGUUUUAAAUUUUGAUGGAACCUAACUUUUUUCUUUUCUUGCAUAUGGUUUUGGUUUCAUACGCAAGAAUUCAUGGCUAGAGUGAAGUUCCUAAACAUUUAUCCCCUAGGACUCCUUCUAAGAGAUAUGCUGUUCUGUCCCUUCAUUUAGCUCUUUUAUCCAUUUUAAUUGUUGCAUAUGAUGUGAUGUAGGUGUCCAACUUCAUUCUUUUGCAUGUGUGUAUCUAGUUGUCCCGGUACCACUUGUUGAACCUAUUACAUUUCAAAAUGAAAUUUCAUGGCCGGCGCCGCGGCUCACUAGGCUAAUCCUCCGCCUUGCAGCGCCGGCACACAGGGUUCUAGUCGCGGUCGGGGCGCCAGAUUCUGUCCCGGUUGCCCCUCCUCCAGGCCAGCUCUCUGCUGUGGCCAGGGAGUGCAGUGGAGGAUGGCUCAGGUGCUUGGGCCCUGCACCCCAUGGGAGACCAGGAGAAGACCUGGCUCCUGCCAUCGGAUCAGCGGGGUGCGCCCGCCGCAGCGCGCCGGCCGCGGCAGCCAUUGGAGGGUAAACCAACAGCAAA